AACUCGUGAUUCGGACAUUUUUUCAGUAAUGACUUGAAUCUCUUCCAUACUUCACAAAAUGAUUCAUAUGCUCCUUGUCUAAAGAUAGAAAUAUAUGAUUUU